AACGAACGCUGGCGGCAUGCCUAACACAUGCAAGUCGAACGAUGCUUUCGGGCAUAGUGGCGCACGGGUGCGUAACGCGUGGGAAUCUGACCUUGGGUUAGGAAUAACAGUUGGAAGCGACUGCUAAUACCGGAUGCAGACGAAAGUCCAAAGAUUUGUCUCCUGAGGAUGAGCCCGCGUAAGAUUAGGUAGUUGGUGGGGUAAAGGCCUACCAAGCCGACGCUGUUUAGCUGGUAUGAGAGGAUGAUCAGCCACACUGGAGCUACGACACGGCCCAGACUCCUACGGGAGGCAGCAGUGGGUAAUAUUGGACAAUGGGCGAAAGCCUGAUCCAGCUAUGCCGCGUGAGUGAUGAAGGCCGUAGGGUUGUAAAGCUCUUUUACCCGGGAUGAUAAUGACAGUACCGGGAGAAUAAGCCCCGGCUAACUCCGUGCCAGCCGCCGCGGUAA
rnacentral:rRNA from 1 species